rnacentral:rRNA from 1 species
GACGAACGCUGGCGGCGUGCCUAAUACAUGCAAGUCGAGCGGACAGAAGGGAGCUUGCUCCCGGAAGUUAGCGGCGGACGGGUGAGUAACACGUGGGCAACCUACCCUGUAGAUCGGGAUAACAUCGAGAAAUCGGUGCUAAUACCGGAUAAUCAUUUGAAGUGCAUGCUUCGAAUGUAAAAGAUGGCUCCGGCUAUCACUACGGGAUGGGCCCGCGGCGCAUUAGCUAGUUGGUAAGGUAAUGGCUUACCAAGGCAACGAUGCGUAGCCGACCGGAGAGGGUGAUCGGCCACACUGGGACUGAGACACGGCCCAGACGCCUACGGGAGGCAGCAGUAGGGAAUCUUCCGCAAGGGACGAAAGUCUGACGGAGCAACGCCGCGUGAGUGAUGAAGGUUUUCGGAUCGUAAAGCUCUGUUGUUAGGGAAGAACAAGUGCCGUUUGAAUAAGGCGGCACCUUGACGGCACCUAACCAGAAAGCCACGGCUAACUACGUGCCAGCAGCCGCCGUAACAC